CAACCCUUGACAUCCUGGUCGCGGUUACGAGAGAUCGUUUCCUUCAGUUCGGCUGGACCAGUGACAGGUGCUGCAUGGCUGUCGUCAGCUCGUGUCGUGAGAUGUUCGGUUAAGUCCGGCAACGAGCGCAACCCACAUCCCCAGUUGCCAGCAGUUCGGCUGGGCACUCUGUGGAAACUGCCCGUGAUAAGCGGGAGGAAGGUGUGGAUGACGUCAAGUCCUCAUGGCCCUUACGGGUUGGGCUACACACGUGCUACAAUGGUGGUGACAGUGGGUUAAUCCCCAAAAACCAUCUCAGUUCGGAUUGUCGUCUGCAACUCGACGGCAUGAAGUCGGAAUCGCUAGUAAUCGCGUAACAGCAUGACGCGGUGAAUACGUUCCCG
rnacentral:rRNA from 1 species